CAACGAAGAUCCAAUGCAGCCAAAAAUAAAUAAAUUAAUUUUAAAAAAUUUAAAAAGAAAUGUAUAUUUAAAGGAACAAUGAAAAGUUUCCCCCAUUCUUUCAGUCUCAGACGGUGAAAUUUUUAUUAGGCAACAGUGACAGUGUAAUGACUUGAUUUCUUCUCUUCCAUGAGAAUGAAGUUUCAUAUGAGUAUUAUGCAGUCACCAUAGCUUGGGACAUUAUCGUAUGACUGCUGCAUGAUGCAGGGAUGGGUAAUUUCAUGAGCUGUCUCGCCUAGGUUUGUUCAUUUUCCUAGUCAUUGAAAUGAGAAGACUUGAUGUGAUUCCUGUUGAGCUACUUCCAGAGGCAACCGUCCUUGUAAUGAAUUCUCUCCAUCAGAAAAUUAGAUGGGAUUUUGACUCCUUUCACAGAUGACACCAUUGAUUCUACCUAAAUUGGAUGGACUCAGUGCCUACCUCCCAUCCUCAGAACGCAGCAGGACUCAGAAUCUAGUGCUGGGACAUGGCAAACCAUGUCAGAUAAAGAAAUUGAGACCCAGAAAACUUGGGAAAUUUGCUCAAAUUCACACAUAAAUAAAGAAUGGAGUUGUGAAUGGAAGCCGAGCUGUUGGAAUCUAAGAAUUCAGGAUACUGUUUGAGAAGAUAAGAAAGUGUUUCAGGCCUUCCCUGGUGGCGCAGUGGUUGAGAAUCUGCCUGCUAAUGCAGGGGACACGGGUUCGAACCCUGGUC